rnacentral:rRNA from 1 species
GACGAACGCUGGCGGCGUGCUUAACACAUGCAAGUCGAACGCGCCUGUCCUCUGGGUUUCUGGGGGGUGGGUGAGUGGCGAACGGGUGAGUAACACGUGAGUAACCUGCCCCCUUCUUCGGGAUAACGGUCUGAAAGGGCUGCUAAUACCGGGUAUUCACUGGUCUCCGCAUGGGGUCUGGUGGAAAGGUUUUUUUCUGGUGGGGGAUGGGCUCGCGGCCUAUCAGCUUGUUGGUGGGGUGAUGGCCCACCAAGGCUUUGACGGGUAGCCGGCCUGAGAGGGUGACCGGUCACAUUGGGACUGAGAUACGGCCCAGACUCCUACGGGAGGCAGCCGUGGGGCCACUUGCCCCCUGGGCGCACGACUGCUGCAGCGACGCCGCGUGAGGGAUGGAGGCCUUCGGGUUGUGAACCUCUUUCGCCCGUGGUCAAGCCGCGACGUGGGUCGUGGUGAGGGUAGUGGGUAAAGAAGCGCCGGCUCACUACGUG